GACAGAGGGGCCGAGCGUUAGGCGGAAUCACUGGGCUUAAAGCGUGUGUAGGCGGAUCUGUAAGUACCUUGUGAAAUCCCACGGCUCAACCGUGGAACUGCUUGGUAUACUGCGGGUCUUGAGCCACCUAGGGGCAAGUGGAACAAACGGUGGAGCGGUGAAAUGCGUAGAUAUCAGGAGGAACACCUGUGGUGUAGACAGCUUACUGGACCACUUCUGACGCUGAGACACGAAAGCGUGGGUAGCAAACAGG
rnacentral:rRNA from 1 species